UGUUCUUAAUGGAAUUAAUGCUGAAGCCUGUUAUUGUGUCUGUAUUUCAGGGUGUUCCCAGUUUUCUUCCCUCUUUCUACAGGAUAAUGAUCCAUUAAAACUAAAAUAAGAGCUGAUGAUGGAAUCGCCAUGCUCUUCAAAAAACAUCAGAAAGAAAAACAGCUGGCUCAGAGCUUUAUGGGGACGUCUGGAUGGAAACCUGUAUGGCUUCAGGAGGAGGAACUUUAGGCAGUAAAGGACACGUCACACCUGUGGACCAAUGUGUAAAAAAGGAAGAACCUAAAUAUGAAGGCUAUCUCUGUAAGGUAACAUGGAGUACUUGUUUGGAGCUACUAGCCAGUUCUAUUUAUACCACUCAAGGGCAGUUCUCAUUCUUCAGGGUGUUACUUGAGCUGAUGGUAUCUACAUGUGGAAUUUCAGGUGGAGAAAUAUUGGACUUGUUAGACAAACUGGACCAACCGAAUGGAACAUUUCAGA